GCCAGCUUCAAAGGUACCGUUUCAAACAACUUCAGCACAAAGAACUGAUACCACCCAUUCCUCAACUGACCCUUAUUUCAGACCGAACAGCUCUUACAGGUUGAUUCACUGUUGAAGGUGGGAGUGACUGCACCAGACACGCUCCCAACCGGCAGCCGGUAAACACACAGAAACCACCGGCGCCUUUUUAUCCCUGUGGAACACGCGCGCAGGCCAAGCCGGCAUCAUUGGCUGUCUGGGGGAGUUUUGGGGAGCGCUGGGGGGUACCGGACAGGAGACAGGAGGCUGUCGGAUCCGAGAGGGGGGCAGACCUGCAGAGGGCGGACAGGUGCGUGUGUUCAGACGGGGAGAGAACAACGCAGCUGGAGGACUUACUCCAGUGCUCCAGCCCCUCUGAGCCACCGCGCGUCCUCGACAAGGAGGUGGAGAGCCCAGGGCACCGGGCAGCUGUCCGGACUGAGGGCCCCGCAGGUCUCGGGGUCGCCCAGGACCC
rnacentral:lncRNA from 1 species